AAGGAGGAAGGUUCCAGCAGGAAGGAGGAAGGUUCCAGCAGGAAGGGGGAAGUGAGCAGCCUCCUCUCCAACUCUGCGACCUGAGCCCAGGUCCGCCCCCAGGCAAACAGACUGGUCCUUCCAAGUUCCUGGUCCCUCCGCCCAAGAACCUUUUGGGGAGACCAUCGUGGGUCCCCACCGGUGCCCAGACCUUGGGGUGCUGACCAUGCUGGCCCGGCGGCAGGGGUCCCGGCUGGGCGGGGGUGGCCCUCUCCUCCACCUUGCCGCUG